rnacentral:rRNA from 1 species
CCUACGGGUGGCUGCAGUGGGGAAUAUUGGACAAUGGGGGGAACCCUGAUCCAGCGACGCCGCGUGAGUGAAGAAGUAUUUCGGUAUGUAAAGCUCUAUCAGCAGGGAAGAAAGAAAUGACGGUACCUGACUAAGAAGCCCCGGCUAACUACGUGCCAGCAGCCGCGGUAAUACGUAGGGGGCAAGCGUUAUCCGGAUUUACGGGGUGUAAAGGGAGCGUAGACGGCGAUGCAAGUCUGAAGUGAAAGGCGGGGGCCCAACCCCCGGACUGCUUUGGAAACUGUAUGGCUGGAGUGUGUGAGAGGCUAGUGGAAUUCCAGGUGUAGGCGUGAAAUCCGUAGAUAUCUGGAGGAACAUCAGUGGCGAAGGCGACUCUCUGGCACAUACCUGACGCUGAGGAGCGAAAGCGUGGGUAGCAAACAGGAUUAGAUACCCCAGUAGUC